rnacentral:rRNA from 1 species
UACGGGGGGAGCAAGCGUUGUUCGGAAUUACUGGGCGUAAAGCGUGCGCAGGCGGUUUCUUAAGUCAGAUGUGAAAGCCCCGGGCUUAACCUGGGAACUGCGUUUGAAACUGGGAGACUUGAGUGUGGCAGAGGGGGGUGGAAUUCCACGUGUAGCAGUGAAAUGCGUAGAUAUCGUAAGGAAGACCAGUGGCGAAGGCGAGUCUCUGGACAGUUACUGACGCUGAGGCACGAAGGCCAGGGGAGCAAACGGG